AAAAAUCCCAUGGGAUUUUUUUUGUCCCAUGGGACAACAAAUAUCCCAUGGGACUACAAAUAUCCCAUGGGACUACAAUAAUCCCAUGGGACAAAAAA
rnacentral:sRNA from 1 species